CCUGCAGUCCUCACCAUAAGUCAGCCCCGAACCGGUACAGGGAGGAAAAAAGAGAAAAAAAAAUAGCCCAGCCCGCACGACCUUCCUCCUCGAUCCCAUCUCGACCUCCAUCCCGCCGCCACCUCCCGCCGCCACCUCCUGCCUCGCCCCGCCCAGCCUCACCGCGCGCCGCCCGCCGCCGACGCGCCGCCCACCAGCCGCGCCCGCACCCAUCUCCCAUCGAUGCGCCACCAUCCCCUGUAUCCAUGCUCCGCCGUCUGAAUCCCGUCGUCGAGUCCCUCCCGCUCGCCGUGGCCAAUGAUCGCGUCGACCGGGACCGCGUCCCUCCCCAAACGGCGGCGAUGAUGGAGGGUGCCGCACUGCCGCCCAGCUCCUGACCGACGGAGUCGCCGGGUUCCCGCUCCUCGGGGCCAGCCCCUCCCCCGUGUCGGGUCGCGCAUCGGCUUGGAGGCCCCUCGGGGCUGCCGCCGGUGAGGGAGUCCUGCGCGGCCGUGAGGGCUGGGGACCAAGCGGCGGGGUCCGUGGUGCGUUCCUGUUGAGGGCUUGCUGGGGUUGGCAGGGAUCUGAGCCGCCGUCGAUGGAUUUCUCGCAGCUUGGCUACAUGUUGCUUCGGAUUUGGUACUAUCCCCAUCUCCCUCUCCCUCGGUGUGGACGCACGCACCUAAACCCAAAACCUGAACUGAAUCAGUCGAGCGCUCGUUGCCGGAUCGUUGAACCAUCGUCCCGGUCGCUGCCGCGUCAGUUCCACACCGCUACAACGCUGCCUACCACCGCCACUCCAUUGGCUUGGAUUUGUUUGUGGCAUGGGCUGGGAACUGUACGGUGUUGUCUGAUGCAUGUUCCGCACUGGGAGGUUUGGUCGGUUGACGCUAGGUAUGAGCAGCUCUUGAGCCUGAUUGCUGGAUGUGGGCACGCAUGCAUGUAUACUCCUCAACUUGCACUGCUUAUACAACACAUUGCCUGUACACCACGGCCGUGGACAGGCGGACGUGCUCCUACUCCUCACAAGGCACCCACAGUCUUUAUUAGCAAGCCAAUCCAAAACUUCAGCAUGCAUUUUUUUUAAAGGACAACUAAGUAUCUUUGUUAGUAACAUCUUUGUCAAAAAUUAGAAAAAACGCCAGUGCAUUAGUUGAGCUAAUCAGCUAGCUUCAUCUCUUGGAUUAUGCAUUGAUAGUAUGGCACAUGUUGUAUCGUUAUAAGCAAUUUUUGUUAGGAGGUAAGAUUUUAGUGUCGUCGUUCAGUUUUUGUUACAUACAAAAUGAAUAUGAUUAGUUAAUUCUGUUUUCUUUUAAGAGGUAUUUCUCUCGCCAGCCUUUGUGUUAUCCAUGUGAAUUCCACUAGAUUUAUCAUCCGUGUACCUAAAUUGUGCAUAUUAUCAAAUUCUGGAAAAAAAAAGUUGAGCGCUUAUUGUGGCCAUCAUCUGCAUAGCACCACACCUAGAGCUAAAAUCAAGUAACCUUCAUGGAUUUUGUUGACAAGAAAGACAACGAACUUAAUUUAACGACUUGAAGUCAAUUGCACAUGUCUCAUACUGCAUUGCACCUUGGCCGACGCACUCGACCACGACAAGCAGCAGCUCGGGAAGCCUUUGCAAUUCAUGUAUUUACAACAUUUACAGUUCAUGUAUUUACUGUUCAUGCAUUGCACCUUCAUGGUUUUUGUUGUACUUCUGCAUUUGCAACAUUUACAGCUUAAUGCAAUCAGGAAUUGGUUAUAGAUUUCAUGUGAUUUAAUUUCUGAAUGUUAACAACAGUGACAACUUGUGACUUUCGUAAGUUUUAUUUCCAUUGAGACAGAGCGGGCAAUGGAUCGUGAGAUGGAAUGAAAUUAUAAGUUUUCUGAAUGCUAAUUGCGUAUGUUUUGUACUUGUAGGAAUGCUAUGAAGGAAGUGUUCUUCCCUUAUUUUUUAUGAAGGUAAGGUCUUGUUCUUGGAUUCCUACUGCUCUAGAUUGCUUGGCUGCUCUAAUUUAUCACUUCAUGGCCUUAUGCUCCACCAUUAUCUUUGAACACUUGAUACUUAUUUACUUUUCUUCGUUGGCUUCUUUUUGAUAGUCAUCUGAUUUAAAAAUGCUAGCAUGUGCCACUUUAGUAUCUUUCAGUUUCAGCAAACAUAUUGGAUUAUCUUGACAUAUGUUGGCAUUGACAAGAUAAUAUAGAUUGUCACUAUUAAUUUCAAUGUUCACGCUCCAUCCUAUUUAAAUUCCUAUUUGGAUGGAAGUCAACACACUAAGAACUGUAUGCUUGAUGAAUGAUGUUCACAGCAAUUACUCGAAUUUCUUCGUUUCCGCGGUAUAGUUAUGCAAGUUAAGUUCUGUUUGCUCAUGCAUUCACUUGUGCAGACUGAUGGUUAAUUGUGAACUAUGUAUAUUCUGUAGGUUCUUCUUAGUGAGAUCAAAACUAAGCACAAUCGUAUUUUCUCGAAUUGUACACAUGCUAUGAUUUUCAUGCUCUCUGUAGUAAUUAUGUUGAAUUCUCAUAAUUCCUUUUGCAUUAUUAUGCCAAACAAUUUGUAUGCUAAAAACAUACUUCAUAAUCCCAUCUCCCCGCGUCGUCCCGAUUUGUUCCAGCUGGGCACUGCCUCGGCUGCAAAGCGUGUGUUGUCCCACGAAGCAGGCCCUCCUUUGCAAGGCCGACGAGGAUAGCUUCAACUUCGCAGCCUAUUCUGGUCAAUGAUGUCAUUGAUAAUAACCAGGAAGUUUCACCGCUCAGUUCAUCCAGUUGAAUCCUUCUAUUGUAAUUCUAUUCCCUACCCUUUCUUACUUGUAGGACAUUCAAGUGUGGUACACAUGUGAGUAUCUUCUCCUUCCCUCUGUUGUAUGCAUGUGGUCAUUUGUUAUCCCAAUUAAGAAUCAAGAUCCACUACAUUCUUGAAUAUUGAAGACUGUUUUAGUUGGUCCAGAUUAAACUUGAUAAAUACAAUUUCCUUGUUGGUUCCAUCUGAGUUGUAUUAAUGAUUUGGGCAGUUUUCAGUAAUCUUAAGCCGUCUUCAGAUUUUAGCUUCCUCAAUCAUUCUGAAUUAUUUAACCUCAGUAUGAGGUACAUGUCUUCCAAAGAUUAAUCCUGAGAAAUUUGUAGUUGAUCAGUUGGGUCUGUUUGAUUUGUUCAGUAGACUGCAGCAGCAGUCACCAUUGUUCAGAUCUAUUCUAAAGCUACAUUAUUAGCACUGCAAUAUCUUUGUUACUUCAACCAAAUAGUUCAGCCGUGUCUUAUUGAUUUGGACGGGUUCUUACUAAUCUUUAAGCCAACUUCAAAUUUUAGCCUGCUCGGUCAAUCUGGAUUAUUUAGUGUCAAUUUUGAUGCAUGUCUUUAAUAAAGUAAGAAACUGAUUUUGGGUGCUAAAAUAAACACUAAACACUACUUGCUCAUGGCGACUAUGUGUAGAAAGACGAUCACGGUGGAGAUCCCGACGGUCGACGUGAAGCCGGGGUGGAAGAAGGGCACGAAGAUCACCUUCCUAGAAGGAACGAUCUGAUUUUUUCGGUACAGUUAUGUGUUUCAAAAAGUUAUUGUGAUGUAAUUUUUAUAUUAACACUAUAAUCUAUGAAGUUAUGUUUCCAGACAUUUCACUUUUUGCAUCAGCUGAGGCACAUUUUAUUUUCAAAUAAUUUCUGAAGUAAAAGUUGUGAAUGAACUGCAUGAUGUUUCAUGUGUUCGAAUUACACUUGAAAUAAAAAAUUAGAUAGCAAGGUGCAGAGGAAAUGUGAGAAAAGUUGUCCAAAAACCGAAGAACCUUUUUUACUUUUCUUCCCAUUACAAGUUUGCUAUUUAUACUAUGCUUUAUUUUUACUAUAACGUCAAAUUUAUCAUGUUUUAAGAUGAAUGGUAAAUCAAAUAAGGAAAAAACUAUGGUGGCCAGAUUUGGUAGCCCUUAGCCCUUAUCAUGUUUUUAUAUCCAAAAUACUGUUUGAUCCUUGUUCAGUCUUAUUUGCAGCGUAAACUAUGUACACUAAUCAUUAGACCAUCUUUGAAGAUCUGACGAACAAAAGCAGAAUGGUUCUUUCUAUACUGUUCGAACCACCCCCCCUUUCGUUCUCUCCCAGGGAGUGGCUAGCGCGCAACACUGCCAUGCUCCUCUGCCGCGCAGUCAUCACAGGAUGGGACGGCGACCUCGCCUUCCUAUUCAAUGUUCUGUCGGUAGCGUCGUUCUCUGUCCAGGAGCAUCCGGACAGGGAGGUGCUCCCGCCAUGCGUCUAGGCAUGUACUGCAACGGCGACCACAUGGCUAAGAUGGCCAUUGCCAUCACCGAGUUCCGCGCUCUCUGUUCUUCAUUAAAUCCAGAUGCGGAAACUAAAAGGCGAGUACCAUGGGAUCAUGAAGUAUAUAAAGCAAAGGAGGAGUUGUACCAUCUCCUCUCCGGCAAGAUUCUUUUUUUUGCUGGGGAAUGAACGAAUUGAAUGCAAGAUUGCAUUGUUACAAGGACAGAGAGUGGACCACCACCUUCAGUUUCUCAGAUUCCCUGUUUGCAUUCGCCAUUCUCAACAAGCACCAGGAUGUGGCUUUGGUUCUGCACAAACAAUAUCUUCAGUGGUUUCUAGAUCAAGCCCUAUGUUCUUUAUCUGAACAAUAGACAUUGUAAUUGUUCCAUCCAUUACCUCUGAAAGUCAAGAAUCGAAAGAAAAGUUAUUGGCAUAUCUCUGUCACCAAGGAAGGUUCGUUAGACAGAAAAAUGAUCUCUGGUUAUGUAUGAGAUGAUGCAAUGCACAUCUCUGAAUGAAGCACAACAGGAAUUUACAUCCUCUAAUGCUAACUGUUGAUCAUUCUUCUCUGAAGUAUCAAGUCAGUAUCUCAUUUGCCCCCUAUUCAUCUGUCAUGUCUGCAUGAAAAAUCAUUGCAAUUUUAAUCCUAUGUUUAAGGGUAGCUAAAUUUCUACGGACCUACAAUAUUAUCUUUUUGGAAUAACAGAUCAACUUUCAACAUGUA